rnacentral:rRNA from 1 species
UCCGUUGGUGAACCAGCGGAGGGAUCAUUAAUUGAAACACUUCACAACCCUUGUGGACCCUGUAGAAUCGUUUCCUCGAUGGGAAGCCCUCCCGGGAACCGCGCUGGGGCCCUCAAGGGGGAACCGCGAUGGGGCUCGGGGGGAAGGACCAUCAAAGGAGCCCCCAACAAAAUCAUUUCGAACGAGGAUCUGAGUGGGAUACUUGAAUCAAUCAAAACUUUCAACAACGGAUCUCUUGGUUCUGGCAUCGAUGAAGAACGCAGCGAAAUGCGAUAAGUAAUGUGAAUUGCAGAAUUCAGUGAAUCAUCGAAUCUUUGAACGCACAUUGCGCCCGCCAGUACUCUGGCGGGCAUGCCUGUCCGAGCGUCGUGUCACAAAUCAAGCCUGGCUUGCUGUUGGGAGACCAUCCUGCACGGGUGCCUCCCCAAAUCCAUCGGCGGAGUCGUGGUGACCCUGAGCGUAGUGAGAAUCUCGCUUCUGGUGGAUCCAUGGCCCUUGCCGUAAAACCCCCRAAAUUUCUGGUCGACCUCGGAUCAGGUAGGGCUACCCGCUGAACUUAAGCAUAUCAAUAAGCGGAGGA